CCUACGGGAGGCAGCAGUGAGGAAUAUUGGUCAAUGGGCGAGAGCCUGAACCAGCCAAGUCGCGUGAGGGAGUACUGCCCUAUGGGUUGUAAACCUCUUUUGUCGGGGAGCAAAAGCCGGACGUGUCCGGCUGUGAGAGUACCCGAAGAAAAAGCAUCGGCUAACUCCGUGCCAGCAGCCGCGGUAAUACGGAGGAUGCGAGCGUUAUCCGGAUUUAUUGGGUUUUAAGGGUGCGCAGGCGGAUUUUUAAGUCAGCGGUAAAAUCGUGGGGCUCAACCCCAUCCAGCCGUUGAAACUGGGGAUCUAGAGUGUGCGAGAGGUAUGCGGAAUGCGGGGUGUAGCGGUGAAAUGCAUAGAUAUCACGCAGAACCCCGAUUGCGAAGGCAGCAUACCGGUGCACAACUGACGCUCAGGCACGAAAGCGUGGGUAUCGAACAGGAUUAGAUACCCGGGUAGUC
rnacentral:rRNA from 1 species